CAUCUACUCCCUCCGUUCGGAAUUACUUGUCUCGGAAAUGGAUGUAUCUAGAACUAAACUACAUCUAGAUACAUCCAUUUCUGCGACAACUAAUUCCGAACGGAGGGAGUAGUAC
rnacentral:pre_miRNA from 1 species